AACGAACGCUGGCGGCAUGCCUAACACAUGCAAGUCGAACGAGACCUUCGGGUCUAGUGGCGCACGGGUGCGUAACGCGUGGGAACCUGCCCUUAGGUUCGGAAUAACUCCCCUAAGGGGGUCUUAAGACCGGUUAAUGUCUUCGGACAAAGGAUUUACCGCUUUGGGCUGGGCCCUGGUUGGUUUAGCCGGUUGGUAGGGUAAAAGCAUAGCAAGGACAGGAUCCUUGGCUGGUCUGGGAGGAUGAUACGCCACAAUGGGACUGAGACACGGCCUAGACCCCUACGGGAGGCAGCAGUGGGGAAUAUUAGACAAUGGGCGAAAGCCUGAUCCAGCAAUGCCGCGUGAGUGAUGAAGGCCUUAGGGUUGUAAAGCUCUUUUACCCGGGAUGAUAAUGACAGUACCGGGAGAAUAAGCACCGGCUAACUCCGUG
rnacentral:rRNA from 1 species